GGCUCGGUAGCUUAGUUGGUAAAGCGCUCGUCUAGCAUACAAGAGUCCCGAGCCG
rnacentral:tRNA from 1 species